rnacentral:miRNA from 1 species
AGCUCUGAUACCAAAUGAUGGAAU